rnacentral:rRNA from 1 species
GACGAACGCUGGCGGCGUGCUUAACACAUGCAAGUCGAGCGAGGCCCGUCUGGUGGCAACACCGGGCGGUUCCUAGCGGCGAACGGGUGAGUAACACGUGGGUAACCUGCCCCUGACUUUGGGAUAACUCCGGGAAACCGGGGCUAAUACCGAAUAUGAGACGCUCUCGCAUGGGAGCGCCUGGAAAGGGUUCACCGGUCAGGGAUGGGCCCGCGGCCUAUCAGCUUGUUGGUGGGGUAACAGCCCACCAAGGCGACGACGGGUAGCCGGCCUGAGAGGGUGUUCGGCCACACUGGGACUGAGACACGGCCCAGACUCCUACGGGAGGCAGCAGUGGGGAAUCUUGCGCAAUGGGCGAAAGCCUGACGCAGCGACGCCGCGUGAGGGAUGAAGGCUUUCGAGUUGUAAACCUCUUUCAGCAGGGACGAAGCGAAAGUGACGGUACCUGCAGAAGAAGCCCCGGCCAACUACGUGCCAGCAGCCGCAGUAAGAC